GGAGGCGUCGGAUAGUGGUUGAUUCCGCCACCUUGGAAAGGUGGUAGGCUCGAAAGGGUCUCGAGAGUUCGAAUCUCUCCGCCUCCG
rnacentral:tRNA from 1 species